rnacentral:rRNA from 1 species
UACGAGGGGGGCAAGCGUUGUUCGGAAUUACUGGGCGUAAAGGGCUCGUAGGCGGCCCACUAAGUCCGACGUGAAAUCCCCAGGCUUAACCUGGGAACUGCGUCGGAUACUGGAUGGCUUGAAUCCGGGAGAGGGAUGCGGAAUUCCAGGUGUAGCGGUGAAAUGCGUAGAUAUCUGGAGGAACACCGGUGGCGAAGGCGGCAUCCUGGACCGGCAUUGACGCUGAGGAGCGAAAGCCAGGGGAGCAAACGGG